rnacentral:rRNA from 1 species
GACGAACCGUGCGAACGUUGUUCGGAAUCACUGGGCUUAAAGGGCGCGUAGGCGGGCCGGCAAGUCAGGGGUGAAAUCUUCCAGCUCAACUGGAAAAGGGCCUUUGAUACUGUCGGCCUCGAGGGAGGUAGGGGCAUGCGGAACUUCCGGUGGAGCGGUGAAAUGCGUAGAUAUCGGAAGGAACGCCGGUGGCGAAAGCGGCGUGCUGGACAUCUUCUGACGCUGAGGCGCGAAAGCUAGGGGAGCAAACGGG